AGUUUGAAUCCGGCUCAGAUUGAACGCUGGCGGCAGGCUUAACACAUGCAAGUCGAGCGGGGGAAGGUGGCUUGCUACCGGACCUAGCGGCGGACGGGUGAGUAAUGCUUAGGAAUCUGCCUAUUAGUGGGGGACAACAUCUCGAAAGGGAUGCUAAUACCGCAUACGUCCUACGGGAGAAAGCAGGGGAUCUUCGGACCUUGCGCUAAUAGAUGAGCCUAAGUCGGAUUAGCUAGUUGGUGGGGUAAAGGCCUACCAAGGCGACGAUCUGUAGCGGGUCUGAGAGGAUGAUCCGCCACACUGGGACUGAGACACGGCCCAGACUCCUACGGGAGGCAGCAGUGGGGAAUAUUGGACAAUGGGGGGAACCCUGAUCCAGCCAUGCCGCGUGUGUGAAGAAGGCCUUAUGGUUGUAAAGCACUUUAAGCGAGGAGGAGGCUACUUUAGUUAAUACCUAGGGAUAGUGGACGUUACUCGCAGAAUAAGCACCGGCUAACUCUGUGCCAGCAGCCGCGGUAAUACAGAGGGUGCGAGCGUUAAUCGGAUUUACUGGGCGUAAAGCGUGCGUAGGCGGCUUAUUAAGUCGGAUGUGAAAUCCCCGAGCUUAACUUGGGAAUUGCAUUCGAUACUGGUGAGCUAGAGUAUGGGAGAGGAUGGUAGAAUUCCAGGUGUAGCGGUGAAAUGCGUAGAGAUCUGGAGGAAUACCGAUGGCGAAGGCAGCCAUCUGGCCUAAUACUGACGCUGAGGUACGAAAGCAUGGGGAGCAAACAGGAUUAGAUACCCUGGUAGUCCAUGCCGUAAACGAUGUCUACUAGCCGUUGGGGCCUUUGAGGCUUUAGUGGCGCAGCUAACGCGAUAAGUAGACCGCCUGGGGAGUACGGUCGCAAGACUAAAACUCAAAUGAAUUGACGGGGGCCCGCACAAGCGGUGGAGCAUGUGGUUUAAUUCGAUGCAACGCGAAGAACCUUACCUGGCCUUGACAUACUAGAAACUUUCCAGAGAUGGAUUGGUGCCUUCGGGAAUCUAGAUACAGGUGCUGCAUGGCUGUCGUCAGCUCGUGUCGUGAGAUGUUGGGUUAAGUCCCGCAACGAGCGCAACCCUUUUCCUUACUUGCCAGCAUUUCGGAUGGGAACUUUAAGGAUACUGCCAGUGACAAACUGGAGGAAGGCG
rnacentral:rRNA from 1 species